GACGAACGCNGGCGGCGUGCCUAAUACAUGCAAGUAGAACGCUGAAGAGAGGAGCUUGCUCUUCUUGGAUGAGUUGCGAACGGGUGAGUAACGCGUAGGUAACCUGCCUGGUAGCGGGGGAUAACUAUUGGAAACGAUAGCUAAUACCGCAUAAAAUUGAUUAUUGCAUGAUAAUUAAUUGAAAGAUGCAAUUGCAUCACUACCAGAUGGACCUGCGUUGUAUUAGCUAGUUGGUGAGGUAACGGCUCACCAAGGCGACGAUACAUAGCCGACCUGAGAGGGUGAUCGGCCACACUGGGACUGAGACACGGCCCAGACUCCUACGGGAGGCAGCAGUAGGGAAUCUUCGGCAAUGGGGGGAACCCUGACCGAGCAACGCCGCGUGAGUGAAGAAGGUUUUCGGAUCGUAAAGCUCUGUUGUAAGAGAAGAACGGGUGUGAGAGNGGAAAGUUCACACNGNGACGG
rnacentral:rRNA from 1 species